UGGAGCCCGUUGAGAUCCAAAGUGGAUCGUAGUGUUUGGUGUAUUGGCCACCACUAAUCUAUGUUCUCUACUUGAUAUCUAUAAUUAGAACUUGCUCACUCUUGGUAUUAAGCAAACACCCCCACAGCUUGUAUGGAAUUCAGAGAAAGGAUUGCAAACAAUGGCGGUAGAACUCUUCUGUUCCACAACAAAGGCACUGUGCCUUUUUAACUGCUACUUGCAGAGUUAAUUUAAAAGUGUCUCACUGAACAGUUUGGUGGCUCUGUGAUGUAGUACGCCAAUGUACUUUCAGCACUUUGAUAAUUCACUUCAAGGAGCGCUAACCAAUCCUAUAACUGUUCUACAGCUUUAUUAACAUCAUUCCUGGUUCAGCUUUUAUUGCGUUGAGAAUCUGUUUAACUGUCAAUUUGGGAUAUUGCGGAUACAACACUGUAGGUACCCUUGCUUGAUGGUCUGGUUACAGGUAGGACACUAGAGUAAGUUUGAAAUAAAACACAAAAAGUGAUCUGGUGCCAGGAAGCAACUACAGCAUCUUUAGUAUCGCCUUUGAAACGACACACUACAAAUUGAAGUCAUGGAGAUAAUGCUAAUAGGAGCCCAACCACAUUUUAGAGCCAACUAAAUUUCAGAAAAGCGUUCAUCACAGAUGGAAUAUUCUCGUAGCAGUGCCUGGUUACCAAGACACAUCUUGAGGCCACCUGAGCAGCUAUCUGAAAGCAGUCUUUGCAAACAGCUGGCACGACACAUGGAUCCACCAGCCACCAAACACCUCCUGGACAGGUUUCCUCAAUCAAUAUGGGGAAAGCGAGACCUCACAUUUAUGUAUGUUAAUUUCACAGUCCUCACACACACAUGUUCCUGCUGCCGGUCUACCCAGUGCUACGUCAUGAAGCCAACAAACCCUCAACAAGAUCCUGCAAACUAAUGGCAGACUUUAGCAGCCAGUAGGCCUGGCCAAAUGUUCAAUGGAAUGAGGCGGAUUAUUUGCAGAAACAACUAGAAAAUAAACAAGCUGCAAUGGU